GAAUAUUGCAUUUUUGGUUCUUUGAAGAGCUGUGGGUGCAGAUCAAAGUGGAAGAGAGUGGCCAAAGUCGGUGAUCUCAUCAACUUUGAAGCAGAAUUCCAGUAGAAACUUGCUUUUUAUUAAAAAGCAAAAUUCCAAUAUGACAAAAAUCAGUGUUUUGACAAGGGAGUGAUUGAACGAAGAGUGAUAUUGUAUUAUGUGCUGGGCAAAAGAGUAACCAUUGGAUUUAGAGAUCUGGAGAAGGAAAAUUGUAGGCUUCACUUGAUUGUAAAAAGUGUGCUUCUUUGUACUGGAUGUAAAUAAUGAGAAGAGAAUUUCUCUGUUAAUGAGUCAUAGAUAAAGAGCAUAUUCCUUAACUCA